rnacentral:lncRNA from 1 species
CCAGCUGAGCGUGCUCAUCCACCACCAGCGUGUACCUUGACGAGGAGUCGUAGGACAGUCGCUGGUGUCUGAGCUCAGCCAGGCCCGUGGGGGUGGCGGCUCCCCAGGCUCCUCGCCACCCUCCACCUGGUGGCUCGGCCCGCUCCGGGGAUGACAGGCAGUCGAAGCCCUGCCUCGUCCUCCUCACUGAUGGAGGGGGUGAGCCGGCCUGCUGCAGAGGGGUAGGCGGCAGGGUCCGGGUCGGAGGCUGACUGACAUCCGGCUCUCUGCAGGCGGCAGGAAGGCCGAGGAGCAGGCUCUGUGGUGUCGCGGGGGCCUCUGCACUGGUGUCAGGUAGAUCUCCUCUGUGGCCUCCAGCCGCACAUCGGCCUGGUAGUGGAUUCGGUCCCGAUGGGAGUGGCCCAAACCACCAGGGGUGGCAGCAGGGGAGCCACCCAGAGGUGCCAUCUGGGUGGCAGCGCUGCGACGACAAGGGCUGUCGGUGGAAGUGCCGCAGUCCUUGAGUGGGGGCGGGGCUGCCCUGGGGUGGCAGCUCAUCACUCAGGCAGAUGUGUUCAUGGGGCGGCGUCUGCUCCCCUGGAGGGCAGGCAGGUCAGGGUGAAGCAGGUGUCCCCAACAAGUCUGCCAGUCACCUCCCUGUCGCCCUCAGCAUGUUGACCCAGAGGCCAAGCAAUGCCUCCCUGGCAACAGGCCCUGGACCGGGACCAGGCAACUCGCUCACAGCACAGCUGCCCUUCAGCCCUAGCUGGGCUGGUGCCAGGAAUGGGUGCUGGGUGCAGGUGGGUACCGGAGCUCUGCUGGACAAGUGGGGGCCACAGCCUCAGCUCUGAGUACCAGGGCCCGAGCAGGGCAGGCUGAGGUCCAGCCCGGGGAGGUGAGGGUCUUGGCUUACCUGUCUUGAGGGGGUGAGGAUGAUCGAGACACCCGAUCCUGCCAACUGUGCUUUUUGCCAAGAGAAUUAUUAUUCAGUGUGUCCUGUGCAGGGGACAAAAGGCCCUUGUGAAGAUGCGGCCAGCAGUGCCCAGCACAGGGAGGCCCUGCCCUGCCCCCAUCGGGCCAUCCCUAGGCCUGGGCCUCACCCACCCACUUCCACUCGCCAAGGCCUCACUCCCAACCCUCCGGGAACAGGUGCGAGGGUGGCAGGUGACAGACUCCCUCCUGGCUCGGAGCAGCUGGCCAGCCCUCAGAGGGUGCACUUAUGAGCCUCAGAAAGGGUGGCAGUGGCCAGUGUGUGUGGUGAGGGGGUAGCAGGAGUCCUCAUCAGCGUUUACAUGUAAGAUGCUCAAAUCCAGCCCAGGGGAGGACAGGGGGACUCCCUCCCCUGAAGCUCAGGAAGCUGUGGCCCAGAAAGGGCCAGUGACACUGGCAGAGGCUGAAAAAAGCCUAAAGAAGUCUCCCUAGCAGCUGGCCCGGGAGAGGGCUUAGCAUGAAUCCAAGUGAUGACCUCAUACCACGCCCCACCCCCAGUCACACACGAUGGGGAACGACAG